AACUGUUAGACAGUGCUCUAAGAAAGGAUGCCUAAUGGCCUUAGAUUCAAACGGCCAGUAGGAGGAAUCCAGAGAAGGAAGAAUUGUAUGUACCAGAUUCACAGUCAAUUCAGCAGAAACGGAAGUAAGAAAUAUCUAGAUUAGGAGAAUGUCCACAAUAAAAAACAGAAAAAGAAGACAAAGGCUCUGUCAUUCAUUCUAAGGACAAAUCUUGGCUCCAAGAAGACCGAAGAAACGAGCAGGACAUAACCAAAAACAGACCUGCCCCCAGCCCAGCUCUCGUUGACGCAAAACAAAAAAGUCAAAAGAUUUAAAAGAAAAGUCUUUGUAAUGUAGAGGAGUAGAAAGAAAAUAAAAGGAAAAAGUAUGACAGAGGGACACCAGCACCUACCCUGAGGAAUUGAUAAAGAGACAUCUGUUUGCGAAGUCAGGACUGAACUUGGGAGUCUGGGAAUAAGGACCAAAAAACGAUGAUUGCUGGCCGUACCAGAUUUAAUAGACCUGAAAAGCUCUGAGCUGGGGUUAGAAAACGAAACCUACCUAGCUCAGAAGAAAUCGAGAAUUAACCUGGAGACACCAAAUGUGAGAUAGGCCUGAGAUCUGAGAAAGGGAUUGGAGGACGGCUGAUUGGUGAUCCUAGAGGCAUCUAAGAGUUAUCGUACUUUGUAUUCUCCUAUUUCGUAUGGAAAUUCUGAGUCCUCUGGAAAGCAUACCCUAUGGUGAUUGAAACUGGGUGGAGGAGGAAAACUACCGAUUUGUCAGAAGUGGGAUUCGAACCCACGCCUCCAGGGGAGACUGCGACCUUAACGCAGCGCCUUAGACCGCUCGGCCAUCCUGACUACGUGGAGCUCUUUCUAGCUUGACCUUCAUCACUCUCACCUCAAAUCGGCUAUUCCCUUAAUCUUUUAAAAGAUCAUAACAGCAGCUGCUUGCUGAGUCUACACAACCCUCAUUGGUCUCCUACUUUCCAGUUGCCUCGCUGGAGGCCGACGUUCCCCCGAUCGACUUCUUCACUCACAAGACCUUUCCCUUCAGUACACUCUCACAACCUCCACGUGAAAGCAACCGAGAGGGAACCCACAUCUCCAAAGCUUUCACACCACCCCUCCUACCAACAGCGUCUGUCUGUCUGUGGGUCUGUCAGUCCAACUGGACUUGUGGGUGCCCAUUUCCAUACCCGGCCUCCAAGUCUCUGACUAGCAGACAUUGUCUGAGGACCGGCCAGAGUAGACCUUUCAUUACGAAACCAUCCCAUUCAGGAUAUCAGGAGCUCUCCAAAUCAGUUCAGAAACAUCAUGUCCUGCUCCAAGCGAGAAGAGCUGGCAACUAUAGGCUCAGCUUUGGAGAACCCGGGUAAAUUACCCCAUGGCCUGCCUUCAGAGCCAUUAGGUUCUCCUCUGAGAGAAAGUGGGAAUCGCCUCAAGCCAUGGAGAAGAACAAACCCAGCAGAGUCUCUAGGGACAGGAGCCAGGGUGGAACCCCCUAUUUGGCACCAGGGAAUGCCUUUGGGGCCAUUAGAAAAAGGCAACAGAGUCAGUUUGAACAAACCUAAUGAAGAGACUUUCUAGUCCAGGGUGACGACUGUAAUAAGGGAGACCUAGGCCAUGUGGGCGAGGUUUGGAAGUAGCAGAUUUGCAGGAGGGAUUCUUUGGGCACAGUGGCAAAGUUCCAACCAAGAUACCGAGGCUGUAAUGAGCGCUGUGAUUCAUGAAGAUGAUGAGGCCGGGUCUGUCACCAGGCUGGCUAAAGUGAAGAGAAUCAAAUGGGUAUACAGACUUUGGCGGAGUUGCUCUGUUCCCAGAAAUGCAGGCUAACCAGGAGGAAGGGCAGCACACCAAUAGCCCUCUCUGUGGACUAGGAUUUGUCCAGCUGGCUUUUGAGAAGACAGUCUUAGGCAGCCAUUAUCUUUCUCCAAGUCCCAAAAGCUGCCAACACCUUAGUUUUGGUCACUGAAGUCUAGGAGAGAGCUCUCUGGACAAAAAGAAAUGGACUGAAUUUAUUUUGAUUUGCAUGCAUUCCCUUUUAAAUUAGCUUAGGAGUCUCAAGGCUAGAUCUAGGUCCCUGGUGUAACUUCCCAGUUUCCUGAGAAGCAAAAUGGAUCAAGAAGGUCUGUGGCCCUGAAGUUGAAAAGCUUCGCUCCUCUGGAUCAAGACUGACUCUGAGUAUCAUCUCUUGGCUAGAGUUGAAUAAAUCACCCUUUUGCUUACUCCCUGGCCACAAUCACGUGGAAUGGAGAAAGAAGGUCCAAAGGGACAGACAUACAAGCUAUGGAAAGGCAGGCCAGAACUUGGAAAGGGUGUUUUUUCUGUUUAAACUAUGUGCCUACAAGAAUGGUGCAACAGGUAGUCAUUUUCCAACUCCUCCACUCCAAUAUACAAGACAGUACAGUCAUCCUUACAAACCAGGACCAAGACUGCCCCAAAUCGGCUCUCAAGAGAUAAUCACACUGAAACAAUUUCACUCUUCAGGCUUCGAGUAAUCUCCCCAAAGACUGAGUCGUGGAGAUCGACCUUGUCUUCUAUAAAGCCAAUCCCUUCGUUCCAGCGCCGCAGCCUCUAGGCCGAAGCAGGUUGGGAGGAACUCUUGACCAACAGCCUUGGGGUCUCUGAGGAGCAGACGCUGCCCUAAGGCUGACCAGGGCAAAAUAUCCUGACCAUUCCAAAGGACGACGCUAGGAAUCCUGCAGCUCUCUGCACUGCGUCCAACUAGAGUGACUGCCAUCCGGGGAUGGAGAUUAGAACCUGAGCAAUCCUGAACAAACUAUCCGGUGGCUUUCGGAACCAUCUGGUUCUCUUCGGGGAGAAAAGAGCAAGACACAAGCUAAAGAGAGGAGCAAACCCAGAAAAGCCUCUGAGGACUCCAGUCUGGACACACCCAUUUGGACAGCUCCCGACCAAUACUCAGGCUGCUCCCUCAGCUGCCCACUUGACCUUCCGCGUGAGUCUGGGAAAGUCAGUUCCAGGAAGCCUUGGAGGUCCAAGGCACCACCAGUGUAGUGCGCUAUAUCUAAGCAGAGGCGGGGAGGGGUGUCAUGUUGGACAAAAGGAGCAACUUGUCUAUCUAG